CCCUUCAGUCACUUCAUUUCAGGAUGUCUCAGAAGUUUUCCUUAUCAUUUCUCCCUUUUCAUCAAGAUAUUUCAUAACAUACAAGCCUGGUGCAGACUCUUGGGCGGAAGCAACCAGCUUCAAGUUGUCAGUGGCUUCUCCAUCUAGGCAGGUAGAAUUUGAGGUCGGAGAUGGGAGUCCUGGACCAUUCAGGUGGAUUAGCCCUUUUCAGGAGUGGAACCCUGACAGUUUCCAGACCCUGUCUUGUUAUCACCCAAGGAAUCUAGCUUAAAGGAUGGGUCCAAUGUAGAAGAAACAGAAAUGGCAACAGAGCCCCUGCUGCUAUCAUCCAUCCACAGAGCAAGCCAGGAGGUCAGAGGUGAGGGGAGCAGGAUGGGGGGUGGGGGCCAGGGAGGCGCCCGAGAUCCUCUCUUCUGCACGUAGCCAGGAUCCUCAGGUAUUUUCUAAUUAGGUACAGGGGCCCCCUGGAAUGUAAACAUCAGAUAAGGCCAAGCCCCCUCCUCUCCAGGAAGCUUUCAUUUUCUUUCUUCUAGGAUAAAUACCACAUUCUUUCCCAGGAACUAGUUUCUGCCCCCCUCUACCCCUCACCCCCCCAAGUCCCUGCAUUUCAUCCUUUUUCCUGGGGGAAGGAGUCUGCCUCCCAGUACUUCCCAUACCCCCUGCCUCAGGCCUUGUCUCUGGGUCUCCCCGCAUCCUUCAUGGCCGCUGUGUUAUGCAGACCUUGCUUCUGACUCUGGAGGGGACCUCUGGUUCUAAUGAUGAUGUGGGCGGCUCCUGGGGGUGUCUCGGGAUUUGACUGCUUUGGGCUUCUUACACCAUCUCUCCUGGGGUAGUAGAGCAGGCGCACUGCCACUGGACCAGCCAACGUCCAUUCAGAGGAGCGAUGCCAGCCAACAUAUGGAGACAGGCACCCAAGCACUAGAAGAAUGAUUGGGAUGAGCGGGGCUAAUAAGAGGUUUCCAGAGGAGGAGAGAGCACCAGCAGCCAGCUAGUGGCACUGAUGGAAGGCUUCAGGGAGGAGGUGUGAUCUGAGCUGAGUCUUGGGGGAAGUGUGGGAUGUAGAGAAUAGAGGAGUGAGCAGGAGGCAGUUUAGGAGACCUUGUUUGGUAUCAGUUAAGGUGGAACAGAUGUUUCAGAGAAGGAGGUGAUUGGAAAGUUAGUAGGAGGACCAAUAAGGGCGGUGGAAAGAUGGAAUGCAGGGAUAAGGAGAUUGAAUUUUAUACCUUCAACAAUGGGAAGCCAUUAAAGAUGUUUAUACCUGGGGGAGGGAGUGGUGAUAGGGGAACAGAUAAGGAUGCAAGAUAAUUCUGGAAGCAAAGGGUGGGCUGUUGUUCUGGGUAGAGAGGUAAGGAUCCCAUGCUUUCUUAUCUCCCCUACUCCUCCCCCUCAGCUGUCCUCAAGGCCAAGAAGUACCCUAAGUGAGUGAAGUUCCAGGGUGGGUGGGACUGAGGAAGCCAGGAGAGACACUGUCCCCCAUCUCUCAGUCCGGGGAUUCUCAAAACUUAAGUUCGGCCCACAGUGGAGCUUGGACCCCAGGGCUUUCCUUGCCUCCCAGGUAGCACAGCACAGGAUGAACUGUUCUGGGCCAGAGGGCCUGGGUGAGGGAAGGGUUCAAUUCACUGUGUGCCCCCUGGCUCUCCACAUUCUCAAAUUGGCUCCGCUGGGGAUGGUGGGAGUGAGGAAUGGAGAAGCGGAGGGCAGAAAUUCAAGAACAAAGGGGCUGGUUGGGAACAAGUGUUCUGGGUCUGUGGGGACACCCCAGAGGCUCAGUCCACUCACAGGGGCACCCCAGAGUGUCUCCUUUCUCUUCUUGUGACCCCCAGGCCCAGGCCUCACUGACCUCCAGCCUUCUCCCUCCUUGCCCUUCUUCCCUAGAAGUCAGAUUCUAGGAAGAGUCCGCUGGAAUGCAGACUGAUUCCUGGGGCCUGGGAGAAUGUCACAGACUGGUGGGUGGAGGCAGUGACUUCUUUAGUUUUGUUCUUAUGGCGGCUUGUUGGGCUCUUUGACUUCUGUCCAGGGAUAUCUCUUUGAGAAUUUGGGACAGGGCCAUUUGGAGCAGCUAUUACAAGAAGGGAGGUAAUAUUUAGCAGGAGUGCUAGGAUCCCAGACCCUUGAGCUUUCAUUCAUCUCGCUCUUUGUCCCGGGACAGGCCACUUGCCUUUCUUCGUGUCCGGGUUCCCUGACCCAUUCCAUCUCUCCUCAGGACAGGGCUGGAAAGGCAGGGGGCCGGAGGGGAAUGCCGGACUCAGCUCUGAGCCUGGUGCAUGUAAUCUGGUCCCUCUGUGGCUCAGGAGCCAGAGAUGCCCACGUUUAUACACACAAACAUGCACACACACAUGCUUCCAAAUGGGGAAGGAGGCUUUUUCAUAUUAUUCAAUGAAUGUCAUGCCCCCACCUCCAUGAUGCCUUAGAUCCCCUCUAAAAAAUAGCCCUUUGCUUUACUUCUGGAAUGGGAGUUUUCCAUGGAUCAAGGCAGGGGACUCUCCAAGCCUUCACUCCUUGUUCCCACCUGUCCACCUACGUUCCACUCCACUUUCCUUAUUAGACGAUGCCCACCACCUGCAGAAAAGCCCCUGUCCCUGCUCCUUCCCCUGCCUGCCCUCCUUCUCUGUAAUCUGGGUGCCCUUCUCCUGCCUGGCCUCAAAGCAGAGCAGACUUCUCUGGGCCUUGGUCCUGUGUGGUUUCCUGUGGAUGGCUCAGCCUGGUGUUUGC